rnacentral:lncRNA from 1 species
GCUGGAUCCGAGCCGCGUCUGCAACCUACCCCACAGCUCACGGCAACGCCGGAUCGUUAACCCACUGAACAAGGCCAGGGAUUGAACCCCCAACUUCAUGGUUCCUAGUCGGAUUCGUUAACCACUGCGCCACGACAGGAACUCCCUAUUUUAUCCAUUUUUGAAACUACAUGGUUAGUUGUGUAAAAGUUCAUGGCUGGUAUAGCUUCUUGGUGGACCACAUAUUUUAUCAAUAUGAAAUAUCCAUUUUUAUCCCUCAUGAUAUCUUUAAACUGUAUUAAUAUUUGCCAUUCCAACCUAAUUAGUUAUUGAACUAAUAUACAAAGUGCUUAGUCUCAUGCCUGAGCAAUAGAAAACAGACAAUAAAUGGUAGUUUCUGCUAUUAUCAUUCUCAUUAGCCUGUGUCCUUCUUGUGAAGGUUCUGGACUCUUUGGGGGACAAAGAGGAAAAGAAAGAACUGAAGGAAAAGAAAGAGCAAUUGCCUCUUAGGCACUGCAUAGUGACACUUAGAGCUUCUUCUCCCCUGAACAAGGUGAUGGAAACUCCAGGGAAGAGAGGCCUCAGGCUUGGACAAAUCACCAGAAAGCCUGCCAAAAGAGGUCUCCUAAGCAGCCAAGAGAAUACAACAGAAACAGAUUUUCUUUUUGGAUUCUGGCCUUUCUGCUUUUGAGGCCCCACUGAAACUAGGAAGGGAAAAAAGCAAAACAAGGUCAGACCAGUAGUAGAUGUGUUUCCAUAUUUGGAAAGUUACAGUGAUCUCUUCAGAAGAGCUCCUUGGAUUUCAGCUCUUCUAGGCCUUUAAAAGCAAUGCCCAUGGCAGUGAUGAUUUUUCACCCCCAGUGCAAUUCUCAGCUCUGCCGAACUUGGAUGUGUUUAAGGAUGUGGUCUCACUGCCUCACUCCUCAUCCCUGUAUCCUUCAGAUGGGAAUGCAGAAACAUGCAGUUCAAUUGCUACAGGACCACGAGGCAAGCAAGCUUCAGGAUGGAUCUGACAGAAGACGGUAAGUCAGAGAAGUAGAAACAAUCUGAGUCUUUCAGAAUCUCAGUGACUUGCUGGAGCAAUGACCUUAGAUCUUGCCUUACAUUUGGACUGGUAGUUAAAUGAGUCAAUAUGCUCCCUUAGAGACCAGCUUAGAGGAAAUUCUAUUACCUAUCAAGAGCUAAAAAAUUUCUGCAGUAGGGACAAGGAGGGGAUGAACCUCAUGGAUGAGAGUAAAUUCAGUUCACUUCUGUAUAGACUCUGCUGGUCUUUCUGGUACAUUUAAACACAUCUUUCUUCAAUAAACAUACAGUAUGAAGAAUCUAGAAAAAUAUA